GAUCUGGCUCGGGAUGAACGCUAGCGACAGGCUUAACACAUGCAAGUCGAGGGGCAUCAUGAGGUAGCAAUACCUUGAUGGCGACCGGCGCACGGGUGAGUAACGCGUAUGCAACCUGCCUGAUACCGGGGUAUAGCCCAUGGAAACGUGGAUUAACACCCCAUAGUACUUUUAUCCUGCCUGGGAUGGGAGUUAAAUGUUCAAGGUAUCGGAUGGGCAUGCGUCCUAUUAGUUAGUUGGCGGGG
rnacentral:rRNA from 1 species